rnacentral:rRNA from 1 species
GCUACAGGCUUAACACAUGCAAGUCGAGGGGCAGCGGGUAGGAAGCUUGCUUCCUAUGCCGGCGACCGGCGCACGGGUGAGUAACGCGUACCGAACCUGCCCCGCACCCGCGGACAGCCCUGCGAAAGCAGGAUUAAGCCGCGAUUGGCGGAUUGCCCGCAUGGGCGUUCCGUGAAACUUGUAGGGUACGGGAUGGCGGUGCGUCCCAUUAGCUUGUUGGCGGGGUAACGGCCCACCAAGGCUUCGAUGGGUAGGGGUUCUGAGAGGAAGGCCCCCCACAUUGGAACUGAGACACGGUCCAAACUCCUACGGGAGGCAGCAGUGAGGAAUAUUGGUCAAUGGGCGGAAGCCUGAACCAGCCAAGUAGCGUGCGGGAGGAAGGCCCUACGGGCUGUAAACCGCUUUUAGACGGGGAUAAAGUGCGCCACGCGUGGCGCAUUGCAGGUACCGUCAGAAAAAGGACCGGCUAAUUCCGUGCCAGCAGCCGCGGUAAUACGGAAGGUCCGGGCGUUAUCCGGAUUCAUUGGGUUUAAAGGGAGCGCAGGCGGGCCGCCAAGCCAGCCGUGAAAUGCCGGGGCUCAACCCCGGGACUGCGGUUGGAACUGGCGGCCUUGAGUGCACGCAGGGACGUUGGAAUUCACGGUGUAGCGGUGAAAUGCUUAGAUAUCGUGAAGAACCCCGGCGGCGAAGGCGUAUGUCCGGAGUGCAACUGACGCUGAGGCUCGAAAGUGCGGGUAUCGAACAGGAUUAGAUACCCUGGUAGUCCGCACGGUAAACGAUGGACACCCGCGAUCGGCGCAUCGGCGCCGGUCGCCAAGCGAAAGCGUUAAGUGUCCCACCUGGGGAGUACGCCGGCAACGGUGAAACUCAAAGGAAUUGACGGGGGCCCGCACAAGCGGAGGAACAUGUGGUUUAAUUCGAUGAUACGCGAGGAACCUUACCCGGGCUUGAACUGCACAGGAAUGCGCCAGAGACGGCGCAGCCCUUCGGGGCCUGCGCGGAGGUGCUGCAUGGUUGUCGUCAGCUCGUGCCGUGAGGUGUCGGCUUAAGUGCCAUAACGAGCGCAACCCCCCCCCGCGUUUGCCAUCGGGUUAUGCCGGGCACUCCGCGGGCACUGCCACCGUAAGGUGCGAGGAAGGCGGGGAUGA